UGAGACAUGCGUGAGGCAGUAAGUCUUUCUCCCCGCUCUUGUGUUUUUUAAAGUGUUUGGCUGUGAAACAAGAUUAUAAUGUGCUCUUGUGUUGCUUAUAUGGUUAUGUACACUUCUUCUGCUCAUAGUUUGAGUGUUUUAGCGAACUUUUUGCUGGUGUACUGUUCGGUGGCGUUUUGUCGCUCACACACACACAGUGGCUGCGGCGUUUCAUUGAAGUUUUCCCUCCAUUUUAGACUGUUUUGCUGCUGAGUCCUGAGUUAACGCGGCGGCACUGUUUCCUGAAUAUUUCAUACAGAACAGCUCAAGACUCUCACUAUUAUGUUAGAUCCACCAUGGACUGGACUUUCACAAUAUUAUAUUAGACAAACUCGACGUCCAUUGCAUCCGCUCUCCCCUAGAGGGGGGGUCUAACACAUCUGCGGUCCUCUCCAAGGUUUCUCAUAGUCAUUCACAUUGACAUCCCACUGGGGUGAGUUUUUCCUUGCCCUUAUGUGGGCUCUGUUCACAGAGGAUGUCGUUGUAGCUUGUGCAGCCCUUUGAGACACUUGUGAUUUAGGGCUAUAUAAAUAAUCAUUGAUUGAUUGAUUGAUGUACCCUAAAACAUAUAUAUAGGUGUAAUGAAGUAAAACAUGCACUUUAUUAAUAUUUCGUUUAUAAUUUGUUAUUAUAGUAUUGUGUUUGAGUGAAUUUUAUCUCAAAAGAAAAGCGCUAUACAAGUACAACCCAUUUAUUUAUUUAUAAAAGAGUUCCUAUUUUUGUUGAUUGGACUGUUAUUUUUCUGUGACUCCUUCCUGGCUUCCGUAGUUUCCCUGAGCUUCUGUAGCUCCUCCCCUUCCGCCUCACUCGUGGUGUUGUGUGUCCUUUUCUAACACAAACCAACGGCUUACUUUUGUCAUUCUUGGCGUCACAGAGAAGGAGUUGGGUGUGAUUUUUUUACUUCAUUUGUAAGUAUGUGUAAUACUGUAAAUGUGUUUUUAUUUAACUUCCGUCCCACGCAGUUCUUUAUUUUGGCCGCUAAUCGGCAGUGUUGACUUUUUGCAUCCUAUAUAGAGUCAAUGUAGUAUCAUGAUAGUUUGUAUUUCUUCAAAAUGUUGUCAAAAUUUUGCAUCUUAUAUAGAGUAAAUGCUGUUUUAUUAUAGUGUGUAUUUCUUCUUUUAUAGAAUCAGUGCAGUAUCAUGAUAGUGUGUAUUUCUUCAAAAUGUUAAAGGCCUACUAAAACCCACUACUAGCCACCACGCAGUCUGAUAGUUUAUAUAUCAAUGAUGAAAUAUUAACAUUGCAACACAUGCCAAUACAGCCUUUUUAGUUUACUAAAUUGCAAUUUUAAAUUUCCCGCGGAGUUUCUUGUUGAAAAUGUCGCGGAAUGAUGACGUGUGCGCGUGACAUCACGGACUGUCAGAAAAUAUUAGCUCAGCACCACUUACGGCUAAAAGCCGUCUCUUUUCAUCGCAUAAUUACACAGUAUUUUGGACAUCUGUGUUGCUGAAUCUUUUGCAAUUUGUUCAAUUAGUAAUGGAGACGUCAAAGAAGAAUGCUGUUGGUGGAAAGCGGUGGAUUGCAGCUGCCUUUAGCACCGAGACACAGCCGGUGUUUCUUUGUUUUUAAAACAGAGCAGUCAAGAAACAUUUUUCUCUAUGUCAAACAGCAUGUUUUUGGAUGGGAAAAUUGUGAUGUAUCAUUGGAUUAUUCGUCCUCCUGCAGUAGCUGUUUAAAAGGUAGCUGUGAGCCUGGCUCCUCGGCUUCUCUCAGAGACACUGCGUGUUCACCGCAGCCAUCCGACCUCGAGCUUACAUUGCACUGGACAGGAUGCACAAUUGCUGCUGUGUAACUCGACAGGAGGCUUGUCGAUGCAAAAGCUCCUUCUUUACCGAGGACCCGCACAGGACAUCUGGUAACCUCAAAACCCAUCCAUCCAUCCAUUUCCUACCGCUUGUCCCAUUGGGGCCAUUUCAGUCAAAUAAUAAUAAAAUCUUGUUUUGUUG